CUAAUGGAUUAAAAUCCCCACAAACAAACACAAAAGACAGCUUUGGGAUUCCAAAAGACGGAUUGCCAACUGUGCAUUUGUUCCAUGUGUCUUCGUUGCCCCGUAUUUUCAUUUUCGCCCCCCUUUUAAAAGAGGAGAAACCCAAAUCUUGCGUAAUGGUCAUCAGACACCACCUUCAAAUUAUUCAACACUGUGUCACACUAACCCUAGCUGUCACCAACGAGCACCACUACAACGCUUACUAAGCAACACCACCCAAUACCGUGUUACAUUCUCUUAUUAGAAAGAAGAAAUGAGUUGGAGGGGUCAUCGCUCCGUCAUCACAACCGAUACAACCUGACGGGCACUGACCGCGAACCACAUCAGGACCAUCGUGCAUCGAGCCUGAUACCGCCCCUAACUACCGGGAAUAACCACAACCGAACAUCUUCUUCUUUGAGACGGCAACGAACAUCGUCACCGAACUGCCAUCGGGCCACACCCUCACUUUACCUUCGUAGCCAUAUAUACCAGUUCCAUCACCUUCUUGCUUGAAACCUGAGACCUGCAUUACCGAGAAUCACAACCGCCUCCAUUGUAAACAACCCUUCCUUACCUUAAACCGCCGUUUUAAUUACAUCUCGACCACCAGCCACCUCUUCGUCUUCACCGCAUAUCACUAUGGCUUUUAUUUUUGUUGGUAGUAAUCAUCCAUAAACGCUAUUUUUACCGAGAGCAGAAGAAGAAAAAAUAGAGAAAGAAAAGAGGCGCACAUGUUUGUGUAGAUGCACCUGAGAAAUUCACAUAGGGCACACAUAUACAUUCUAAGUUAAGUUGGGAUAGAUUAAAGUUCAACUGGGCUAAAUCAAUUGGAUUUUAUUGGAGAUAUAACAGAUAUGUGGUUAGAUAUAUACUAUUUUCUUUAGUUUUAAUUCCAUGGCUUGAGUUCCAAAAAAAAUCAAAGAACGGUGUUGUAUGUUUUUAGUCCAUUUUAAAUUUUGUUAUAAAUCUUUAAUGGGUAAUUUGUAUUA